UAAGGAAUAUUGGUCAAUGGAGGCAACUCUGAACCAGCCAUGCCGCGUGCAGGAAGACAGCCCUCUGGGUCGUAAACUGCUUUUAUUCGGGAAUAAACCCAUCUACGUGUAGAUGGCUGAAUGUACCGAAGGAAUAAGGAUCGGCUAACUCCGUGCCAGCAGCCGCGGUAAUACGGAGGAUCCAAGCGUUAUCCGGAUUUAUUGGGUUUAAAGGGUGCGUAGGCGGCUUAUUAAGUCAGGGGUGAAAGACGGUGGCUCAACCAUCGCAGUGCCUUUGAUACUGAUGAGCUUGAAUAUACUAGAGGUAGGCGGAAUGUGACAAGUAGCGGUGAAAUGCAUAGAUAUGUCACAGAACACCGAUUGCGAAGGCAGCUUACUAUGGUAUUAUUGACGCUGAGGCACGAAAGCGUGGGGAUCAAACAG
rnacentral:rRNA from 1 species